rnacentral:rRNA from 1 species
GACGAACGCUGGCGGCGUGCUUAACACAUGCAAGUCGAACGGAAAGGCCCUGCUUUUGUGGGGUGCUCGAGUGGCGAACGGGUGAGUAACACGUGAGUAACCUGCCCUUGACUUUGGGAUAACUUCAGGAAACUGGGGCUAAUACCGGAUAGGAGCUCCUGCUGCAUGGUGGGGGUUGGAAAGUUUCGGCGGUUGGGGAUGUACUCGCGGCUUAUCAGCUUGUUGGUGGGGUAGUGGCUUACCAAGGCUUUGACGGGUAGCCGGCCUGAGAGGGUGACCGGCCACAUUGGGACUGAGAUACGGCCCAGAAUCCUACGGGAGGCAGCAGUGGGGAAUAUUGCACAAUGGGCGGAAGCCUGAUGCAGAAACGCCGCGUGCGGGAUGACGGCCUUCGGGUUGUAAACCGAUUUCGCAUGUGACGAAGCGUGAGUGACGGUAAUGGGUAAAGAAGCACCGGCUAACUACGUG